rnacentral:rRNA from 1 species
ACCUACGGGGGGCAGCAGUGGGGAAUAUUGCACAAUGGGGGAAACCCUGAUGCAGCAACGCCGCGUGAGUGAAGAAGUAUUUCGGUAUGUAAAGCUCUAUCAGCAGGGAAGAGAAUGACGGUACCUGACUAAGAAGCCCCGACUAACUACGUGCCAGCAGCCGCGGUAAUACGUAGGGGGCGAGCGUUAUCCGGAUUUACUGGGUGUAAAGGGCGUGUAGGCGGGCAUGCAAGCCAGAAGUGAAAUCUGGGGGCUUAACCCCCAAACUGCUUUUGGAACUGCGUGUCUUGAGUGAUGGAGAGGCA